GAUGAACGCUGGCGGCGUGCCUAAUACAUGCAAGUCGAGCGAACAGACGAGGAGCUUGUUCCUCUGACGUUAGCGGCGGACGGGUGGGUAACACGUGGAUAACCAACCUAUAAGUCGGGGAUAACAUCGGGAAACCGGUGCUACUACCAGAUAAUAUAUUGAACCGGAUGGUUCAAUAGUUAAUGACAGUUUUGCUGUCACUUUGAGAUGGAUUCGCGCCGGAUUAGCUAGUUGGUAAGGGAACGGCCUACCAAGGCAACGAUGCGUAGCCGACCUGAGAGGGUGAUCGGCCACACUGGAACUGAGACGAGGUCCAGACUCCUACGGGAGGCAGCAGUAGGGAAUAUUACGCAAUGGGCGAAAGCCUGAUGGAGCAACGCCGCGUGGGUGAUGAAGGUCUUCGGAUCGUAAAGCCCUGUUAUUGGGAAAGAACAACUGUGUAAGUAACUCUGCGUGUCUUGACGGUACCUAAACAAAAAGCCACGGCUAACUACGUG
rnacentral:rRNA from 1 species